GUGAAUUUAGAGGUCGAAAGACGACCUUCCUCUUCACCAUCUUUCUGACCUCCGAUUGGAGUUCCUCUGGCCGCUUCACCGCAGGCUCUGGCUUCCUUUUCUCCAGGUACCUUUCUAUGGAGAGAUUAUGGACGUUUGCUGGUGAUGGUGGAUGGCGUGUGAGGCUCAGCUUAAGCACUUUUGGACUAACUCUGAAAACAAGAACCUGUACUGCUCUAUAAACAUUUGUGAACCACGUGGGAUGAAUUGGAGGGAUACAGGCAUGGAUGACCUGUAAUGCUUGCCCAUAGGCUGUGCAGGGGCUGGCUGUGGUCAGGACUCAGCAGGUGAAGGUGCCUGCUGCCCAGCCUGAUGAUCCGAGUCCACUUUCUGGAAUCUCCAUGGUUGACUGCCUCCAAGAGAUCCAGUUUCUCUGUCCUUUAGACUGCCGAGAGGGGACUGGCCAUCUACCUCUCAUAGGCAAUGCUGUCCCUUUGAUCCUGCAGGCCAACAGCUCCCUCUGGUGGUCUCUAGUGGAAGUCUCGACUGUAAGGGGCUUCUGUCUCCUGGGAGGUGGAUGGAGUGGAGAAGGCGAGAUCAGCCGUGGUUCUAGUGGACUCUGCACAGCGCUCCGCACCGUUCAGAUCCCAUAUUUGCCUGAGUGGGGGAGAGGGAACUUGGGAGAGCGUCAGUGAGCCUUGUUACUGUGAUAAAAUAAAUGUCUGGCAAAAACAAAAGAAGACAGUCUUUUGGGGGUUUCAGCCUGUGAUGGGCGAGUUCCAUCGCUUCUGGACCCAUGAUGGAGGCAGCACAUCAUGGUGGAGAGGGCACGGUACAGGCGGCAGAGAUGCUCAUCUCAUUGAGGCAGGGAACAGGUAAAGGGUCCAGGAGACAAGAUGUACCCUUCAAAGGCAUGCCCUGGUGACCUAUGUCCUUCAGUUACACCCUAGCUCCUAACAGGCCAUUCAGUAUCAGAGGGCUGCUCAAUCCUUUGCCCUCAUGAACCAGGAACCUCUCACUAGCACCCCCAACUGGAGCCAAACCUUCAUUGCAUGAGCCUAUUAGGGUUACACUGGAUACACAAACAGGAACAGAGUGCAAGCCCUAAGCCCCACUGCAGCCUUCACUGGCUUGUGACUUUAGAGGCACCUCAUGAAGUUUUACCUUGGUCAAGGUACUGUGCUGAAGGCUGUAACAGAGUCUACUAAAUUAAACACACCCGUUCUUCCCUCUAGUCUGAGGCGCACCCACCAUGUGUUGCUGUGUAGUUGCUUCUAGAUGACACGUGUGCAGAAAUGCAUCUUGACAAAGGCUGCACAUAGUGUGUGCUCCAGAGGUCAGCAAUCAUCCUAACUGCUGACCAUGGAGAGAAGAACCACUGAGGGCCACGGAGUGGGAGGUGGGCUUUAGUUGAUCAAAGAAUAAGUUACAUCCUUCCUUCUGUCUUGGUGUCCCAUGGUGCUGGGAGAGAGAAGGGGGGGAUACUAGGCUGUGGAUCAGUUGACAAAGUGCUUGCAUAAAGUCUGGGUUUGAUCCCUGGUGCUGCCAGGCCAGAUGUGGUAGUGCAUACCCGUAAUCCCAGCACUUGGGGGGCAGGAGGCUCAGAAAUUCAAUGUCAUCCCUGUCUCCACAGCAGGUUUCCUGAGAUCCUAUUUUAAGAGAGGAUGGCGACGGAUUCUCAAAGAAUUGAUAAAAAUCAAUUGGGGGAGGGGAAGGGCCAGGAGAGAGGAGGUGAGGGGCAAGAAUGGGGUAGGGCACUGUAUCAAGGAGGAAUGAACUUACUUGUUUUCCUGUCCACAGUUCCUUCUACAGCUGGAAUGCAAGAUCCUGAGUGGAGUCCAGGUGGUGGGUCUGGGAGCCUCCAGAGAGUCAUGGCCAGUCAGGAUGGCUGCCGUCCCCGUGCUUCUGGAGAGGGGCUUAGCCAAGAGGAAGCCACCCCAAAGGCUGAUCUCCUGACAGUUGAGCCGGUCCCCUGACAUGUGGCAUGCUGCAGGUGGUGCCUUCCCUUUCCUCUGUUGUCCAGCUCUGACAGACAGCCAGGAUGGCAGGGUGUCCAGCCAGGCCACUGGUGGUAUAGUGCCAGGGAAAUGUUAGUGCCCCCCCCCAAAAGCAGACAGCUGAUGCAAUCACAGUAGGGCCUUUAGAUUUGAGCUAGCUUGGGCCCCCCAGCUGCUACACAGGUUGGUUUUGGUGGUAAGGAAUCCCAAAUAUAUAUCAGGACGAGGCUUUAUAGAAAGCUACAAGUGGUG
rnacentral:lncRNA from 1 species